rnacentral:rRNA from 2 species
GUAACUGUUCAGGUAUUGACGGUAUUUAACCAGAAAGCCACGGCUAACUACGUGCCAGCAGCCGCGGUAAUACGUAGGUGGCAAGCGUUGUCCGGAUUUAUUGGGCGUAAAGCGAGCGCAGGCGGUUUUUUAAGUCUGAUGUGAAAGCCUUCGGCUCAACCGAAGAAGUGCAUCGGAAACUGGGAAACUUGAGUGCAGAAGAGGACAGUGGAACUCCAUGUGUAGCGGUGAAAUGCGUAGAUAUAUGGAAGAACACCAGUGGCGAAGGCGGCUGUCUGGUCUGUAACUGACGCUGAGGCUCGAAAGUAUGGGUAGCAAACAGGAUUAGAUACCCUGGUAGUCCAUACCGUAAACGAUGAAUGCUAAGUGUUGGAGGGUUUCCGCCCUUCAGUGCUGCAGCUAACGCAUUAAGCAUUCCGCCUGGGGAGUACGGCCGCAAGGCUGAAACUCAAAGGAAUUGACGGGGGCCCGCACAAGCGGUGGAGCAUGUGGUUUAAUUCGAAGCUACGCGAAGAACCUUACCAGGUCUUGACAUACUAUGCAAAUCUAAGAGAUUAGACGUUCCCUUCGGGGACAUGGAUACAGGUGGUGCAUGGUUGUCGUCAGCUCGUGUCGUGAGAUGUUGGGUUAAGUCCCGCAACGAGCGCAACCCUUAUUAUCAGUUGCCAGCAUUAAGUUGGGCACUCUGGUGAGACUGCCGGUGACAAACCGGAGGAAGGUGGGGAUGACGUCAAAUCAUCAUGCCCCUUAUGACCUGGGCUACACACGUGCUACAAUGGAUGGUACAACGAGUUGCGAACUCGCGAGAGUAAGCUAAUCUCUUAAAGCCAUUCUCAGUUCGGAUUGUAGGCUGCAACUCGCCUACAUGAAGUCGGAAUCGCUAGUAAUCGCGGAUCAGCAUGCCGCGGUGAAUACGUUCCCGGGCCUUGUACACACCGCCCGUCACACCAUGAGAGUUUGUAACACCCAAAGUCGGUGGGGUA